rnacentral:lncRNA from 1 species
CCAUCCAGUCACCCAGCCUCGGGAUGGACCCAUCAUCGCUGACGCCUCCACUUCUUUCACAUCCCAAGUCAGGUACGUCUCCAGUUCCUGAUAAUUGUAUGUCCUACAGGCCACUCAACGCUGCCUCUUCCUCCCUGUUUUCACCAUCGCAGCCUGGCUUCUCUCAUUACCCUGUCUUUCAUACCGUCGUAGCUCUUCUACUGGUCUCACUGCCUAUUUUGGGGAUCUUGUUACUCUACCUCUAUUAACUCUUUGACAGUGUAAAAAAGAUCAUGCUUUUAUUAAAAAAAUAUGAAUUUAUUAACACAGCACAACCCUCUUCUCUCCCCAUUCUGGUUCUUUAAACCCUCAUUCCCAGUUAUAGCAAAGCUGGAAUCUUCCCAAAGAGUCCAGACUUUCUCUUUCUGAAGACUUGGCACACACUGGGUUUCUGCUUAGGAAGGUUUUCCUUGUCUGCUCUUCUUCUGAAUCCUUGUAUUCACCUUUUUUGCUACGUCUCAGGGGUCACUUCCUUAAGGAAACUUCUUCUAACCCUGCCAAUAAGAGCCUGUCUGUGCCUUGUGAUCAGUGGUUUACUUGGUCAGGCAGGGAUAUUGCCACGAGUAGUAUAUCUCCAGUAUGCAGCUAGAUUCCUAGCACAGACUAGGCUCUCGAUAGAUGUUUAAUGAAUGAAUUAUGAAUGAAUGAUUGGAAAGCUUGCCAAUAGCGUGUCAUAAUAUUGACGUGGGUCCAUUGUAUAAACAAUCUCCAAGUACGUUUGCAAACACAUUUCUACUUGUGGCUAUUUGUGAAAGAAAACAGUGAAAACAAACAAACAAAAAAGGCUGUAUGUGCAACACCAGUAAAAAGGAAGUUUGGCCCUGAGUGCAUAAACAGACCAUCUGACCUUUUGCUGCUAAUAGUCUAAAUUGAUUGAUUACAUGAAUUCCAGAAGUGUGUGUGUGUUUUGUUUGUUUGUUUUUUGUUUUUUGUUUUUUUUUUUUUGUUUGUUUGUUUUUUUUUUGUCUUUUGUCUUUUUGUUGUUGUUGUUGUUGUUGCUAUUUCUUGGGCCGCUCAAGCGGCAUAUGGAGGUUCCCAGGCUAGGGGUUUAAUGGGAGCUGUAGCCACCGGCCUACACCAGAGCCACAGCAACGCGGGAUCCGAGCCGCGUCUGCAACCUACACCACAGCUCACGGCAACGCCGGAUCCUUAACCCACUGAGCAAGGGCAGGGACCGAACCCGCAAUCUCAUGGUUCCUAGUCGGAUUCGUUAACCACUGCGCCACGACGGGAACUCCCAUAGUUUGUUUUAAACAUAGCUGUGGGCUAAGCUUAAUCGAGAUUUUUAUUUAACAUGAUGUAUUUAUUUGGAACCAGAGGCCUUUGGGGACCUUUGGGGACCUUUGCUGUCUGGAUUUACGGCACCAAGAAUGUGCAGCGAGUGUGCGUGGGGCAGCAUGUGGGUUGUGGUGUGGAGCAGGUGACAGGCUGUGAGAGGUCUGUCCCCUUCCGUCUAAAAGCAGCUCGAGACUGGAGUAAGAGUCAUACCGAUACCUCAUAAUGUUUUCUAUUUUAACUCUGGAAACUCCCCUACUUCCCUUCGCAAAGGCAUAUUUUUCAUGACAUGAUUUCUUCUGGUUGACAAAUUCCUUUUUAUUCUUCCCCAAUAGAAUGUAUCAGUUUCCUUUUUGGCAUUCCAGUUUAGUUUUAUAGCCCCAAACUUCAGAUUUUAGAACUGGUGUUUAAAAGUUCAUUCCUUCUGAGAAAACAAGUAGGAAAACAGUGUCCGACAUUAUAAAGGUGAACCCGGUGCUCCACCUGCACAGCAUUACAACUGGCUAAUAGCAGUUUCAUUUGGGGGAGGUAUCUCCUAAAGAUGCAUAAGGGUUCAUGUUUUAAUAGUUUUCAUGUUUUCCCCUUUUUACUUUCUCUUUAUAGAAAUUGGAGACAUUUGUGUUUCAUCACGGUCCCUCCAGGGUUAUUACAAAUUCUGACAGUAUCAUUAAAGCUACUUUGAACCUUCUAUUUUUUAUGUACUUAUUUAUUUUGCAGACUUUAAGCAAGCUUAGAAUUAAUGUUUUCACUAUUUUCUCAACCUUUUAUUAAUCCAUAUAAAAAAUUUAAAGCUACCGACUCAUCAUAUUGCUUUUUCACUCAGCGUUGUCUUAGGGUUAUGCUAACAAACAGCUGACGAGGACGCUAUAUUUCUCAGCUAACAAGGUAGGAAGCAAGGGACAAGAGUCACCCUUCCCAACUUGAAGAAGAGAAAGUGGAAAAUAAGUAUUAGGAGGCGCCUCAGGAAACCCGAGUAUUUUCACCCUGCUUAUUUCCACUACUCCAAAUGGAAAUAUUGCUCAAAGGAGAAUUUUUCACGCCACCUCCUGUAUCUUGAAACGAAAUGCAUGCAUUUUCUUUUAAGAUGUAAGAAUUUUAAUGGCUUUUUUCACACAAUUCUGUGUUUGUCUCUCCUUACUCUUGCAGGGAACUGGCUCAUUUACCGGUUUAUAGGGACUUGGUUGAUGCAGUCACGUACAUACACACACAUGUACACGCGUGGAUGUUCACAUACAGUGAACACUGCCUUUUUACAGUUCAUGGUGCAUUCCUUCACACGUUCAGUUUAUUUAACUAGUUCUUUGUUGAUGAGCACUUAGGCUGUUUAAAAUAUUUUGCUGUUACAAAUAACGCUGUAGCGGUAACACUGCACAGAUAUUUCUCGUGAAGGUACUAGUCUCGGCCAAUUGUUCUCAGAACUGAAUUAUGUGAUCAGAAGUUAUAUGCAUUUGUAAUAUACAUAUAUUAUACGUAUAUAUAUGUCCAAAUAACCUCCAUAGAAGUAGAACACAUGUGUGCGUUUGUGUGUGUGUGUGUGUGUGUGUGUGUGUGUGUGUGUGUGUAAAGGGGGGGCAGAUCGUGUAUUUCUAUCAGCAACAUGAGAGUUGACUGGACUUUUGAAAAAGUCUUUGAUCUUUCACGCCAAGAAUUUCCACCCAUCCUCCCUUCCCAGGGCCACCUUCAGACACCAUGUCCUUCACAGAAAAGGCAGUCAGAGGAAAAGAGAUGAGGUCUCGUGGGCAGAACUAACGAGGUUUGAAAUGUCUUUUUUACGUAGCAGUGCCCCUGACUCCAUGGAACUCCAUGUGUUGAGUUUUGUCUGUAUGUUACACUUUGCGUGCACUAAAAUAAAACUUAGUAUUUUUCCCCUGAGACUUAUAUUUGAUUAAAUGUGUAAUUUUAAAAUGCGUUUAGAUUUACAGAAAAAUUUCAAUGUCACAUAAAUUGCACAGAUGGUACAGAGACCUCCUGUGUAUCCUAAUCCAGUUCCUCUCUUAAUAACAGCUUACCUUCCUAUGUACAUUUGUUAAACUUUAAAUUCGUUAAAAUUCUAUGAACCAAACAUGCAUUCUGAAGGUUUCCUCACUUUUUACCUUUUGUCCUUUUUCUGUUCCAAGGUGUCCAUCCAAGAUGCCACAUUCCUGUCCACCUUGGUGCUUCUUCUUAAAGUAAUAUGUCAACCUCUGGGUUCUUUAGUCUGAAAUCUCAUUGUUCCGCUGAGAACUUACUUCUCAAAUGGAUGAUGCUCUGGUCUGAAUGUUUGUAUCCACCCCAAAUUCAUAUGUUGAAAACCUAAUAUUCAAGGUGAUAGGAUUGGGGGGGGGACCUGUGGGAGGUGAUGAGGUCCUAGCACCACUUGAACAGUGUUGGAGUCUUUAUAAGAGAGGUGGCGGAGGCCUAGCUGUCCCCUCCACCAUGUGGGGUCACAGUAAGACAUGGGACCUCCCCCAACCCUGAUCUUAGACCCCCAUCAUUCAGAACCGUUUGGGGUUUGUAGCUGCAAACUAUUACUUUCAGAAUGGAUAAGCAAUGAGGUCCUGCUGUACAGCUCAGGGAAUUCUGUCCAAUCCCUUGUGAUAGAACAGGAUGGAAGAUAACGUGAGAAAAGCAUGUAUAUACAUACAUACAUGUAUAUAGGACUAGGUCACUUUGCCAUACAGUAGAAAUUGACAGAACAUUGUAAAUCCACAAUACUUUAAUUUUUAAAAAUUAAAAGAAAAAAAUAUAUAUAUAGUUUACAGGCUGCCCAGUCUGUGGUACUGUGUUUUAGCAGCACAAACAGACUAAGACCGAGGAUUAUUUUUCCUUCACAGACAGUAUACCUGAGGGUCGGGAUCAGGGACCGGGGUCCCCCUUGCCUCUCUGUGCUGCCUGCAGACCGUCGCUUCAUCUCCACAUUUCAAAACCCCUGCUCCCAUGAGACGGAAACGAUUGAAAUCUGUCCUACCGCCUCUUCACUGCUGCCAGAAUGGUUCUCCCGGUCGCUUCCUUCUUUCAUUGACAGUUUUAACCUCUGGAUCACUGGUUUAUUUCCCAUUUCUUCAUCUACCUUCUACCCUAUUCCUGCAAAUUACUGGAUGCUGGCAUCCACCCGGAGGUGCCAUCCAUGGUGAUUGUGGAGGUACCGUCCACAUCUUGACCUUGGAGCUUCGGGCAUCCUCAGCUGCAGUGGCCUUCCCUGCAGUGCCCUAAGGCCAUCGCCUCCCAGGUCCUACAUCAGAAAACAAUGCCUCCUGCUGAAUAGCAUUGAGAACUAUGUCUAGAUACUCAUGUUGCAACAGAACAAAGGGUGGGGGAAAAACUGUAAUUGCAAUGUAUACAUGUAAGGAUAACCUGACCCCCUUGCUGUACAGUGGGAAA